AAGGACACACUUAUUAAAAAUUCAAAGUUAUGAUAAGUAAAAAAUAUAGGAGAUGUGUAACAAGAUUGUAGAUUUGAACAUUUUAAUUUUAAUUAAUUUUUAUAAGUAUUGAUUUCAGAUACAUGUAUGACAUUCCAUGCUUGAUCGGGGAGGGGGGCUACAGUUAGAUAAUAUUCUGGUCAGCACAUUCGAUAAACUACAGUUGUACAUGGAACUCAUUAAAUCACUUCUUUUUCUUUCAGUGGUCUUCAACUUUUAAUCUCCAAGAAGGAAAUGUAAUUAAAAGAUGAAUAAAGUAUCCCUAAGAAUACCAGAAGAAAGGCUGUGUUGAGAAAAACAGCCCUUCCUCAGUACCACAGAACUAGAUGAUAGCCCUUGUUACUUUAUGCUUAAUAUGACACAGUAUAGAAGAUCUGAUCAUGAAGACGUUACACCAUUGAUACACUUGCCAACUGCCAAAACUACUUUCUGAUAGCAUGACGAGAUUAGAAGAUAUGAUGGUGUAGUCAUGACACAAACUGCAAAUCAAAGAUUGUCUUCCCCAGAGGAUGAACAGAGUGCUUCACAUGGAUAACAUUUCCUUUUCGAGUUUUGAAAUUAUCAAACAUAAUUUUGCAUCAAAGAGAAAAAGUGGCUUUGACAUAACCUAGAAAAUACAAUAUUCAUUAAAAAGAGCAUGGCACCAGGAUAGCUACAUGCCCAUAUUCCCAGCAAAAUGAGCCAGUCCUAAAGAGAGUCCACUAGAGAUGAAAUAAAACGCAUUAAAAUGUGUUGAGAAAAGAUUUGUCAGAAUGUUAUGCAUCAUGAUCAACAGAAAAGAACUUCACAGGUAGACCAAAGCUGACAUGGGAUGAGAUCCUAAAACGAGACCUAGAGUUUAGAGGAUUGGAUAGGAUCAAUCCACUGGGUCGCCAAGUGUGGAAGUACAAACUUCAACCUCGACAGGACAGCCAGGCCUCACCCUUGCAAAAAUAUUAAUUUGGCCUGGAUAGUCAAAAUGAGUGAUGAUGAUAUCAAGGUCUGACACUGUAAGCUCAGUAAGGGUAGAUGCUGGCAAUGGAGCUGUUAAGCAAUACAACAAACAGGUUUAACAUUGAACAUGUUUAUAUACUUUUUUAGUUCACCUGAGCCAAAGGCUCAAAUGAGCUUUUCUGAUCACCUUUGCCUGUCGUCUAUCUCUCUAUAAACUUUUCACAUUUUCAUUUUCUUCUCCAGAGUGAACCACUGGGCCAGUUUCAAUCAAACUUGGUAUGCAUCAUUAAUAGAUAAAGGGUAUGCAAAAAUAGGGUGGGGUCAUUUAAAAAACCUUUUCAAGAACCACUGAACCAGGAAAGUUGAAUUCACAUAAAAGGUUCCUGUUUUGUGCAAAUCAUGGUAUCCGGGGGUAGGGUGAGGUCACAAUCGAGGAUCAAAGUUUUACAUUCAUAUAUAGUACAGAUUCAAGUUUGUUAAAGGUCAUGGCUCACAGGGGUAGAGUGGGGUCACAAUAGGGGAUCUAAGUUUUAUAUGUGAAAUAUAUACAAGGAAAAUCUUUUAAAAUCUUCUCCUAAAAAACUAGAUGCAGAACUAAACCCAAAAUCGUAGCUCUUUGAGAAGAUAUUGGGGCAAGUCAGAGCGCUAGAGCUUCAGAUGAGCCCCUUAUUAAAAAUCUUCAAUUUACGGCACAGAAAAAAAGUGCAUGGUUAAGUCCCUCUAUCACUGCAUUCCUGCAUUGCUGUCUCGUGAAUUUAAUAUUAAAUAAUUCCUAACAUAUUUUCCCACUAUACUUGUUUCCAAGCAUACUUUCAAAUAUUCCUUAAACCCACAUAUAACCUAAAAACUCACAGCUUCAAGUGAUUUUCUUUGUUGAUGUAGCCAUGUUAGGUAUACGUAGCCAGUCAAUUUGAACCCCAGUUCAUUUCCAUACUCGUACUCAUUUUGAAACAUAAUGUCUGUGUGAACUAAUAUCCCCACAAAUAUUUUUAGUGAAAUAUUUUGGAUGAAAUCAUCCCAGUUGGGUUAAAUACUUAUUAUUCAAAAACUGUAGGUUUGAAUAUUGAACUAAUCUCACAGCUUUCUUAAGUUUGGUCCCCAUCCACUCCAGUCUGUUUUUACGCUUAACUAUUGAAAUGGAGUGUAAGGGAUCAGACUAGGCUUUAAUAGCAUUAUCAAUUUUCAAAAGCUUUAGAAAAAUUAUACAAUUUUAGGUCACUUGAGUAAACUCAGAUGACAUAUUGCUAUUGGUCUGCGUCCGUUGUAGUCCGUCGAUGUUAACAAUUGAAUAUUUUUAACUAAAUUCUAUAACUGAAAAGUGAAGAUAACGAACAGCGAUCAAUCUACGAUUCGAAUAACAGAAUUCUUUUCAAAUUUAGUAUGAAGCACACACAUUUACAUUAAACCUUCCUGACAUAGUGCAUAUUCAAGUUUGUUAAAAUCAUUUCCCGGGAGGUAUGGUGUGGUAACAAUAGGGGAUCAAAGUUUUAUAUGCUGAUAUAUUUAAAGGAAAAAUCUUUAAAGAUAUCUCUUGAACUAUUUAAGCUAGAGCUUUCAUAUCUUGUAUAUACAAUUUUUAUGGCAAAACAAAUCUGACCUAUUCAGUGUGUCCUGAACUACAUUGUGUUAAAGGUAAAACUUAUACGGUACCAAUUUUGAUGCACCAGAUGCGCAUUUCGACAAAUAAUGUCUCUUCAGUGGUUGGCGUGGGUUCGAAUCCUGCUUGCACCGGUAAGUGAGAAAGUUUCCCAGUUUACUCUCGGAAGGUCAGUGGUCUCUUCCCAGGUACAUUGUAUCUGGGUUCUCUCUUCCACCAAUAAAAACUGGGCACCACCAGAUAACUGAAAAAUUGUUGAGUGUGGCAGAAAACAGCUAAAACAAUCAAUCAUAUUAUGUUAUUUGACCUUGUGACCCUGAACUCUGAGUUUGACCUACUUUUAAGAAAGUAUAACUUAUUAAGUAUAUCCAGGACUAUUUUAGAUAGGGCUUUCAUGUAUUGUAUAUAUAUUACUUAUGGCAAAGUCUUUCAUAUCAUACCAAGACCUAUGACUUCAUACCUUGGUCUUAUCCAGAACAGCAAUAUCAUGCUUGUCAUAUCUUUGUGUUAUAUGAUUUCAUUUUAGUAAUGUUGUGUUCUUUAGAGGCAGGUUUGGGUCACAUUAUUCAUGAGAAUAAAGAUUGAUAAAAUAGCAUUUAAAAAUCAAAACAGCAGGGCCAAGGUGACUCAGGUGAGCGAUGUGGCCCAUGGGCCUUUUGUUGAGUUUGAUAUUUGUACAGAUAUCAUUUGUAUGAGAAAUGGAACUCUUUUUUUUUCUUUUACAAAUACAUGUAUUAUCAUAUGGAUCCAUCUGUGUUGAUUAUUUAAUCAAAGGACUACAUUCAAUGUAUUAAAUGCAAAUUUAUUGAUAUGUCUGUGGUUGAAUUACUCAUGUAUGUAUACAUUUUUUUGGCACAUGCAAUUACAUAUAUAAUGUAUAUAUAUAUACUAAUUGUACAUAUAACAUCUCCUGUAAUAUAAUAAAAUUUAUGACUGAGAAUAAAAGACCUGCUGUUUUCAUUGCUACCAUGGAACAUUAAAAGAUUAGAAUAAUUCAAAUAUCUUAAUGAAUUCUGUAAUAUAUGAAUUUGAUAUUUGUAUACAAUUGCCUCACUGGUGUUCAAUGUGAACUUUGGUUUAUCAUUUCAGUUUGCUCUUUAUAUCAAAUCAAAAUUUAAGACAAAUAAGGAAUUAUUUCCGAAAUUAGUUAAUAUGGUACAUUGUAGUAAAAUAAUCAAAAGUUUAUUCAUAUGAGAUAGCUAAAUUCCACAUGGAUAACCAGUGACUGAUUCUGAAUUGUCAACAUUUUCACCAAACAGUUUAGAAAUUACCCCGGUACAUACUAUUGGGGGAUUAUAAAAUUCCUUGAAAAGUGACAUAUUUUUAAAUAUCACCUUUUCAAGGAGAAAAAUCCCUUUAAGUAUAUGAAUCCUAUGAAGAAAUUAAAAGAGAGGUGGCUAUAGGUAUAUGCGACCCACCUGAUCUUUAUUUUUCUGCAACAUAUUCAAGUGUGUUUUUAUCACUUGUAUGGUGAGAUUCAUUUGUGGCAAGAGCUGUUAUGAUGUCUCGAGUCAGAAAACACCAGAAUCCACUAGGAAUAGUUUUAGAUCUAUGGAGCGCCAAAUUAACAAACUCAAAUAUUUGAAGAUAUCUUUAAUUAUUUGAAGAUAUUAUCAAUUCAUUUCAUGCACGCAACAUUGCAAUCAAAGAUCUCUUCAAAUAAUUAAUAUCUUCAAUUCUGCAUUAUUAUAUAUUGCGAGCAUGAAUUGAAUUAUUGAUAUCAUUAUUUAUUCUGCUGAAUUGAUGCACGCAAUAAUUUAAUUGUUGCUCUCCUCAAAUAAAUUAUAAUUUAAUGAUACCAACAAUAGAAUUAAUGCAUGCUACAAUUCAAUUGAAGAGAGCAAUAAUUCAUUAAUGCUAACAUCACUUAAUGUGCACAAUAAUUGAAUUAUUGCUCUCUUCUAUUGAAUUAAUGAUAUCAUUAAUUAAAUUGAUGCGUGGAAUAAUUAUUUUAGAGAGAUUAUCUAAUUGAGAUAUAAUCUUCAAUUCAAGAUAUCCACAAUUGAAUGAUUUCUUUAAUUGAAUUGUUGCUCUUUAAAAAAAAAAUGAUGCGCGCAUUAAUUGCUUAUGAAAUAGCCUUCUAUAUAUAAUUAAAAAGAUCCUCCAUUGAAUUAAAAGAUAUAAUCAAGUCAUUCAUACAGAGCUCUAAAUUAAUUUUUGCGAGCAAUAUUUCCACCACAUGGAUGUGCGCAUCAAUUGAAUUAAUGAGAGCGAUAAUUGAUUUGAUGCGCGUAUAUUAUUGGACUUCAAUUUGAGCUUAUGUAAAACAUUAAUAAGAUUUUAAAAAUCAACCUGGUGAAUUGGUAUUAUAAAGGUCAUGAGAGGACACGUCCAGUUUUUGAACAAAAACAGAAGGUAAUAUAUUCCCUUGAAUUUGCAAUUGGUCAUCUCUGUCCUCAGAUCGGCAGGGAAAGGAGUGGGGGUCCAAAUCACUUUUAUGAUGGAGAUUAUUUCUCAUUCGAAGGCGCGAAUUGCCGAUGUUCAGGGAAUGUUUUAAAUAUCUACUUGCCUUUCGAGACUGGACUAAGUUCAUCAAUAAAACUUACAAAUAUGUAACUUGAAUUUUACCUUUCGUUAUAAUAGUUCAAUUUAUGCGCAAUGUACCAGGUUCAAUUGUCGGUGUGUUUCAGCCGUGGUUAAUUAGGGGGGGGGGGGGUCCAACACGUAACACGUUUAGGGAAGGGCGUAAUGAGUGCCAAAUGCACGAAAUCUCUAAACAAAAAUAUCUAAGAUGAAGCAAAAUCGUGAUUUUUGGGGGUUCUCUAUUACAAUUUUGUCCUCAUAUUUCAAGGUGAGAUGAUAGUCAAAAUUGACAUAAUGUGCAUGUACAUAUCAUAAACAUGUAGAUAUUUUUGUAACAGUAUAUAAAGGAACCGGGAACAAAUCCUGAUUCUGAAGUUAUGUUAUAUAAACUGGUGUUAUAAACCGGAUUUUCAAAGAAUUUAUGGUUUUUGCAACGUUUGAUUAAAGUUUUCUGUAAUGUCACAUCUAUGUAGUUACAUAUAUAAACAGAAUGUUCAUGAAAAUGUUCCCUUUUAGAGUGGAAUUAAGAUAUUGCGUAACAUUUCUUUACAAAGAUAUCUAAUUUUUAUUCAUGUCAAAAGUCAACAAAAAACUUAAAGUGAUACAAAGAAUGUAUAUAAUUAUGAAUACUUGUUUUAGAUCCUUUAGGCACUGUAUUACAGAAUUUUGAUUUUAUUUAUCAUACUUUUUGGUCGAAUUACUACAGAGUCUGGCCCGUACAGCAUGCAUUGGCAAACGAGG